CUUUUAGGAUCAGAAAAAUAUAUUGCGUUGUUCUCAUAUACAGAAAGAAUUGAUUUUGGCAGCAAUAGAUUGCUUAGAUGCUAAUUCAAAAUCUGGAGGUUAUUUAGUUUAUUCAACUUGCUCUAUUUUGCCAGAAGAAAAUGAAGCCGUUAUUGACUAUGCUU